CCUACGGGACGCAGCAGUGAGGAAUAUUGGUCAAUGGUCGGGAGACUGAACCAGCCAAGCCGCGUGAGGGAUGCAGGUACAGAGUAUCGUAAACCUCUUUUGUCAGGGAACAAAGGCGGGGACGCGUCCCCGGAUGAGUGUACCUGAAGAAACAGCAUCGGCUAACUCCGUGCCAGCAGCCGCGGUAAUACGGAGGAUGCGAGCGUUAUCAGGAUUUAUUGGGUUUAAAGGGUGUGCAGGCGGUCUGUUAAGUCAGCGGUCAAAGCCCGGGGCUCAACCCCGGCCCGCCGUUGAAACUGGCAGUCGCGAGUUGGAGAGAAGUAUGCGGAAGGCGCGGUGUAGCGGUGAAAUGCAUAGAUAUCGCGCAGAACUCCGAUUGCGAAGGCAGCAUGCCGGCUCCACACUGACGCUGAGGCACGAAAGCGUGGGUAUCGAACAGGAUUAGAUACCCUGGUAGUC
rnacentral:rRNA from 1 species